GAAAACGACUGCUAAGACUGGAUAGGAAAUUAAGAGGCAUCUUUUAAUUUUUAAAAGACCUUUUUCGAAAGGUAUGCUUAAAGAGGGGCUUGCGCCACAUUAGUUAGUUGGUAAGGUAAAGGCUUACCAAGACGAUGAUGUGUAGCUGGACUGAGAGGUUGAACAGCCACAUUGGGACUGAGACACGGCCCAAACUCCUACGGGAGGCAGCAGUAAGGAAUUUUUGGCAAUGGAGGAAACUCUGACCGAGCGACGCCGCGUGAACAAUGAAGUACUUCGGUAUGUAAAGUUCUUUUAUUGAAAAAGAAAAAAUAGUGGAAAAACUAUCUUGACAUUAUUCAAUGAAUAAGCCCCGGCUAAUUAUGUGCCAGCAGCCGCGGUAAUACAUAAGGGGCGAGCGUUAUCCGGAAUUAUUGGGCGUAAAGGGUGCGUAGGCGGUUUGAUAAGUCUAUAGUUUAAAUGCAGCGCUUAACGCUGUAGCGCUAUAGAAACUGUCUGACUAGAGUUAGAUAGAGGCAAGCGGAAUUCCAUGUGUAGCGGUAAAAUGCGUAAAUAUAUGGAGGAACACCAGAGGCGUAGGCGGCUUGCUGGGUCUUAACUGACGCUGAGGCACGAAAGCGUGGGGAGCAAACAGGAUUAGAUACCCUGGUAGUCCACGCCGUAAACGAUGAGUACUAAGUGUCGGGUUUCGGCUCGGUACUGAAGUUAACACAUUAAGUACUCCGCCUGAGUAGUACGUACGCAAGUAUGAAACUUAAAGGAAUUGACGGGACCCCGCACAAGCGGUGGAUCAUGUUGUUUAAUUCGAAGAUACACGAAAAACCUUACCAGGUCUUGACAUAAUUUUGCGACAUUAUAGAAAUAUAAUGAAGGUUAUCAGAAUUACAGGUGGUGCAUGGUUGUCGUCAGCUCGUGUCGUGAGAUGUUAGGUUAAGUCCUAAAACGAGCGCAACCCUUGUCGUUAGUUGCGACCACGUAAUGGUGAGCACUUUAGCGAGACUGCCAAUGAAAAAUUGGAGGAAGGUGAGGAUUACGUCAAAUCAUCAUGCCCCUUAUGAUCUGGGCUACAAACGUGAUACAAUGGCUGUUACAAAGAGUAGCUACAACGUGAGUUUUUAGCCAAUCUCAAAAAAACAGUCUCAGUUCGGAUUGAAGUCUGCAACUCGACUUCAUGAAGUUGGAAUCGCUAGUAAUCGCGAAUCAGCAUGUCGCGGUGAAUACGUUCUCGGGGUUUGUACACACCGCCCGUCAA
rnacentral:rRNA from 1 species